CCACAGGGAUGGAGAUCUUGGCUUUGUGGUCGUUGUAGGCCUUUUUGUACAGCCUGUCAUUCUGCAUCUUCAACACAUUUGCUGCCCAAACCAGUUUAGGGCCUUUUUGUACAGCCUGUCAUUCUGCAUCUUCAACACAUUUGCUGCCCAAACCAGUUUAGGGUCUUCCUUGGCGCUGCGACAGCCAAUGUAAUGGCCUU
rnacentral:lncRNA from 1 species